rnacentral:pre_miRNA from 1 species
UUCCUCCGUCGCCCCGGCGAAGGCCGGGGCCGCUAUGUUGUAGAGCGCGCGUUCGCCACGCAGCGACCCCGGCCUUCGCCGGGGCGACGCUUACA